AUUGAACGCUGGCGGCAGGCCUAACACAUGCAAGUCGAGAGGAGCGGCGGACGGGUGAGUAAUGCCUAGGAACCUGCCUGGUAGUGGGGGAUAACGUCCGGAAACGGGCGCUAAUACCGCAUACUAUCAGAUUAGCCUAGGUCGGAUUAGCUAGUUGGUGGGGUAAAGGCCUACCAAGGCGACGAUCCGUAACUGGUCUGAGAGGAUGAUCAGUCACAUUGGAACUGAGACACGGUCCAGACUCCUACGUGAGGGAGCAGUGGGGAAUAUUGGACAAUGGGCGAAAGUCUGACCCAGCCAUGCCGCGUGUGUGAAGAAGGUCUUCGGAGUGUAAAGCACUUUAAGUUGUGAGGCGUUAGCAACAGAAUAAGCACCGGCUAACUUCGUGCCAGCAGCCGCGGUAAUUC
rnacentral:rRNA from 1 species